GAAGCGAGACCUUAGAAGGCAGGGCUUCCCGCGAAGGACCGGAAAGGAGCGCCUACUAAGGACGCCGUCGAGGUCCGGGGCGCCUCAACUCUAUAGCUCUAACUGGCUAGAAGUGCCCAACGUGGAAGGUUUCUUUUUUAAAGGCGGCUCUUGAAGCGACCCGGAAACGGAAGUGGAAGAAAGUUCUAGUGGCUUGAGGCCUAUGUUGUCCUUGGCCAGUUUCUGGUGCUAAAGAAAGAUGAAGACCUCUU
rnacentral:sRNA from 1 species